ACUGACUGUGUACUGACUGUUUACUGACUGUGUACUGACUGUAUACUGACUGUAUACUGACUGUACUGACUGUUUACUGACUGUGUACUGACUGUAUACUGAGUGUACUGACUGUGUACUGACUGUUUACUGACUGUACUGACUGUUUACUGACUGUGUACUGACUGUGUACUGACUGUUUACUGACUGUGUACUGACUGUGUACUGACUGUAUACUGACUGUACUGACUGUUUACUGACUGUGUACUGACUGUGUACUGACUGUAUACUGAGUGUACUGACUGUGUACUGAGUGUACUGACUGUGUACUGACUGUAUACUGACUGUGUACUGACUGUGUACUGACUGUGUACUGACUGUGUACUGACUGUUACUGACUGUGUACUGACUGUAUACUGACUGUGUACUGACUGUAUACUGACUGUACACUGACUGUACACUGACUGUGUACUGACUGUAUACUGAGUGUACUGACUGUGUACUGACUGUAUUCUUCUUCAGGCCUUCCGGUACCAGCGGGUGUUGCAGCCGAUGUUGGUUGCGUGCCGUCCUGUUGAUCCGGCGGAGCGGCGCCCCCCAGUGGAGAGGGAGGAGCAUGUCCUGCCUCUGUGGCUGCUAUUUUCACAUUAAAAGCACAGCUAUAAAGGCAGGAAGUGUGUUCAGGA
rnacentral:lncRNA from 15 species